UACGGGGGGAGCAAGCGUUGUUCGGAUUUACUGGGCGUAAAGGGCUCGUAGGCGGCCAACUAAGUCGGAUGUGAAAUCCCCAGGCUUAACCUGGGAACUGCAUCCGAUACUGGAUGGCUUGAAUCCGGGAGAGGGAUGCAGAAUUCCAGGUGUAGCGGUGAAAUGCGUAGAUAUCUGGAGGAAUACCGGUGGCGAAGGCGGCAUCCUGGACCGGCAUUGACGCUGAUGAGCGAAAGCUAGGGGAGCAAACGGG
rnacentral:rRNA from 1 species